GACGAACGCUGGCGGCGUGCUUAACACAUGCAAGUCGAACGGUGAAAGCGGAGCUUGCUCCGCUGGAUCAGUGGCGAACGGGUGAGUAACACGUGGGCAACCUGCCCCUCACUUCGGGAUAACUCCGGGAAACCGGGGCUAAUACCGGAUAUGACCUCCUUGGGCAUCCUUGGAGGUGGAAAGUUUUUCGGUGAGGGAUGGGCCCGCGGCCUAUCAGCUUGUUGGUGAGGUAGUGGCUCACCAAGGCGACGGCGGGUAGCCGGCCUGAGAGGGAGACCGGCCACACUGGGACUGAGACACGGCCCAGACUCCUACGGGAGGCAGCAGUGGGGAAUAUUGCGCAAUGGGCGAAAGCCUGACGCAGCAACGCCGCGUGCGGGAUGACGGCCUUCGGGUUGUAAACCGCUUUCAGCAGGGAAGAAGCCGCAAGGUGACGGUACCUGCAGAAGAAGCACCGGCUAACUACGUGCCAGCAGCCGCAGUAA
rnacentral:rRNA from 1 species